AUAAAGUCAGCUGCUUUUAGAGAGCAGAAAGUUGGGGGUAGACAAACAACAGAUUGCCAUUUUUUCAUCAACAGCCCUGUCCUUGAUUCUGUCUAUGGUAUCCAGUUUUUGUUUAGGUAUUGCUGUGAAGGGUUUUGUUUUUUUUUUUUUUUGGUUGGGAGGGGGGUGGGGGGGAGGACAGUCUUUACCACUGGACCACCAGGGAAGUCCCAUGUAAAGGUAUUUUUUUAGAUGAUUUGAAAAACCUAAGGUCUACUGUGGGAGAAGGAAUUCUACCUCCAAAUGGAACACUUCCCUAAGUCUCCAACCUGCCCACCUCCCCUUUCAAAUUUGCCAACACCAUAAUCUCUGUGCACAACUACACUUGUGUUUCAUUUCUCUAGAGAACUCUAAUAUGUGAACUAAGCUCUUAGGUGACACCAAAUCUUCACAACUCGUAACAGAAAAUAUAGUUCUAUGACUGUAAAAAUUUCCUAAAUAAGACCAAACAUACUAACCAUGAAAACUUGAUCACUUCAUAAUUAAGAACUGUAGCAUACAAAAGGUAUUUUACAGCAAAGAUAUUGACAUGUUCACAAUUUUAUUCAUUCUGAUACCUACUUUCACAAUUUUUGUCCUAAUCUUUCAUUCUCCACUUAGCAUUUUUUUUUCAUUUCCUUGAAAACCUUAGUUACCCUAUUCUUUUACUGAUUACAGUACCUCUUAAUGCAGAUCAGUCUUCUGGGCAGAGAAGCCGGUCAGGUUUUUCACAUUAUCAAAUAUGAGCUUUGCCUCUUAUGGCCAGUUAGUGAAUUUCUCUUUAAUCAAUCAAUCACAAAACACUCUGGAAUUGUGCAAAGAACUCAGUCAUAAAUAUUAUGUAGGCCUGCUAACUUUAAUAAAUAAAAAAAGCUAAGAAACAUAUUUACCAAUCCCUCAAAGUAAAUCUCAGUUCUUUUUAAAGAAUCAAUCUAUAGAAAACCACCAAGCAACAUGGAACCUUUAUUUUAAUGUGAUUACUGUACAUCUGCAGUAUUGGAGUAAUCCUUUUACAAAUGGAACUAGAAGAAACAAUGACAAAACCAAACUGGCAUUUGAUGUGAAUCCACAAGAGUUUAAGCUUCAAAUCCAGCCAAGAA